rnacentral:tRNA from 1 species
GGGCUCAUAGCUCAGUCUGGUAGAGCGCUCGGCUUUUAACCGAGAUGCCGCGGGUUCGAACCCCGUUGAGCCCG